GUGGAAGGAAGAAUUGGGUGCAGAGGGACAAGGUGUACAAUUUUUGAUGCAAGAGGGCACCUUUUGAAUAUUUAGAGGAAGACUCACUGCUAUAGGAAGCAUCUGAAACCUAACAGUUUGCAAAGAUAAACAAGCAGUUGUACAUUUUCAGUGAGAUUCAGCCAUAUAUGUGGCUUAUAUGUAAGCAUCCUAAUUCCUGAUGGUGACAAGACUUCAGGAUUCAACUCUGUUAUCUUCUCCU
rnacentral:lncRNA from 1 species